rnacentral:rRNA from 1 species
UGAGGAAUUUUGCGCAAUGGGAGCAAUCCUGACGCAGCAACGCCGCGUGGGUGAUGAAGGCCUUCGGGUCGUAAAGCCCUGUCAGGUGGGAAGAAUGUCCCGGGACUGAACAGGUUUCGGGAGUGACGGUACCACCAGAGGAAGCACCGGCUAACUCCGUGCCAGCAGCCGCGGUAAUAAGGAGGGUGCAAGCGUUAUUCGGAAUUAUUGGGCGUAAAGGGCGUGUAGGCGGCCCUGCAAGUCUGAGGUGAAAGCCCCGGGCUUAACCCGGGAAGUGCAGUGGAAACUGCAGGUCUUGAGUACUGGAGAGGAUGGGGGAAUUCCCGGUGUAGAGGUGAAAUUCGUAGAGAUCGGGAGGAAUAUCAGUGGCGAAGGCGCCCAUCUGGACGGUAACUGACGCUGAGACGCGAAAGCGUGGGGAGCAAACA